UGGGGAAUAUUGCACAAUGGAGGAAACUCUGAUGCAGCAACGCCGCGUGGAGGAUGACGCAUUUCGGUGUGUAAACUCCUUUUAUAUAGGAAGAUAAUGACGGUACUAUAUGAAUAAGCACCGGCUAACUCCGUGCCAGCAGCCGCGGUAAUACGGAGGGUGCAAGCGUUACUCGGAAUCACUGGGCGUAAAGCGUGCGCAGGCGGCCUGAUAAGUUGGAAGUGAAAUCCUAUGGCUUAACCAUAGAACUGCUUCCAAAACUGUCAGGCUAGAGUCUGGGAGGGGAAGAUGGAAUUAGUUGUGUAGGGGUAAAAUCCGUAGAGAUAACUAGGAAUACCAAAAGCGAAGGCGAUCUUCUGGAACAGUACUGACGCUGAGGUACGAAAGCGUGGGGAGCAAACA
rnacentral:rRNA from 1 species